rnacentral:rRNA from 1 species
AUGAACGCUAGCGGCAGGCCUAACACAUGCAAGUCGAGGGAGAGGUUACCUUCGGGUAACCAAAACCGGCGCACGGGUGCGUAACGCGUAUACAAUCUGCCUUUCACAUAGCGGAUAGCCCGAAGAAAUUUGGAUUAAUACCUAAUGGUAUAUAAGAGCGGCAUCGUUUUCUAUAUUAAAAGUCUACGGUGGUGAAAGAUGAGUAUGCGUUCUAUUAGCUAGUUGGAGAGGUAACGGCUCCCCAAGGGCGACGAUAGAUAGGGGUUCUGAGAGGGAUGUCCCCCACACUGGUACUGAGAUACGGACCAGACUCCUACGGGAGGCAGCAGUGAGGAAUAUUGGACAAUGGUCGGAAGACUGAUCCAGCCAUGCCGCGUGCAGGAUGAAGGGCCUAUGGAUUGUAAACUGCUUUUGUAAGGGAAGAAUAAGGAGUACGUGUACUUUGAUGACGGUACCUUACGAAUAAGCAUCGGCUAACUCCGUGCCAGCAGCCGCGCGUAAUACGGAGGAUGCGAGCGUUAUCCGGAAUCAUUGGGUUUAAAGGGUCCGUAGGCGGGCUGAUAAGUCAGAGGUGAAAGCGCUUAGCUCAACUAAGCAACUGCCUUUGAAACUGUCAGUGCUUGAAUGAUUGUGAAGUAGUUGGAAUGUGUAGUGUAGCGGGUGAAAUGCGUUAGAUAUUACACAGAACACCGAUAGCGAAGGCAUAUUACUAACAAUUUAUUGACGCUGAUGGACGAAAGCGUGGGGAGCGAACAGGAUUAGAUACCCUGGUAGUCCACGCUGUAAACGAUGGAUACUAGCUGUUUGGAGUCAUCUGAGUGUUAAGCGAAACGUGAUAAGUAUC